UGCAAGUCGAGCGAACUGAUUAGAAGCUUGCUUCUAUGACGUUAGCGGCGGACGGGUGAGUAACACGUGGGCAACCUGCCUGUAAGACUGGGAUAACUUCGGGAAACCGAAGCUAAUACCGGAUAGGAUCUUCUCCUUCAUGGGAGAUGAUUGAAAGAUGGUUUCGGCUAUCACUUACAGAUGGGCCCGCGGUGCAUUAGCUAGUUGGUGAGGUAACGGCUCACCAAGGCAACGAUGCAUAGCCGACCUGAGAGGGUGAUCGGCCACACUGGGACUGAGACACGGCCCAGACUCCUACGGGAGGCAGCAGUAGGGAAUCUUCCGCAAUGGACGAAAGUCUGACGGAGCAACGCCGCGUGAGUGAUGAAGGCUUUCGGGUCGUAAAACUCUGUUGUUAGGGAAGAACAAGUACGAGAGUAACUGCUCGUACCUUGACGGUACCUAACCAGAAAGCCACGGCUAACUACGUGCCAGCAGCCGCGGUAAUACGUAGGUGGCAAGCGUUAUCCGGAAUUAUUGGGCGUAAAGCGCGCGCAGGCGGUUUCUUAAGUCUGAUGUGAAAGCCCACGGCUCAACCGUGGAGGGUCAUUGGAAACUGGGGAACUUGAGUGCAGAAGAGAAAAGCGGAAUUCCACGUGUAGCGGUGAAAUGCGUAGAGAUGUGGAG
rnacentral:rRNA from 2 species